GGGAGACUCACUGGCUUUAUGCUGCCCAAUUAUCUCUGGAAAAUGUAUUUCAGUGAUUUGAACUUUUAAUUGCAGCUUAAAUCAAAUGCUCAUAGACUCAGGAGUCAUCGAGUGGAUGGUACCAGCUAAUGAUAUACUGCAACCAUUGUCACCACCUUCCAUUUCAGAGGGAGAGGGACACAGAGUUGGGAGCUCCUGGUGAUCAUAUUGAAAUGAGAAUCAGAUGGGACAGCAAGAGGCUGGAUAUAUCAAAUGUUGAAGUCUAACAACGAUUGGUAAGGAUAUGUUACAGUAAAGAUUAUAAUGGAGUCAUAUAAGGGCCAUUUCCUUGUGUGUAUUCCAUGUCUGCAACCCAGAACCAAUUGUAUGCCCAAGGAAUAUGAUUUGAGGGGCACUCUCACCCAUU
rnacentral:lncRNA from 1 species